AGCGAAAUGAGGAGGAAAAAUCAUCCGAAGUUUUUCUUGUGGAAAACACGUACAUGGUCUUCAAAGUUCUCUGAUCGCU
rfam:Oryza meridionalis cultivar OR44 (W2112) chromosome 2, whole genome shotgun sequence.